rnacentral:rRNA from 1 species
CCGGCGCACGGGUGAGUAACGCGUGGGGGAACCUGCCCUGUACAGGGGGAUAACACUUAGAAAUAGGUGCUAAUACCGCAUAAGCGCACAGUAUCGCAUGAUACAGUGUGAAAAACUCCGGUGGUACAGGAUGGACCCGCGUCUGAUUAGCUGGUUGGCGGGGUAACGGCCCACCAAGGCGACGAUCAGUAGCCGGCCUGAGAGGGUGAACGGCCACAUUGGGACUGAGACACGGCCCAAACUCCUACGGAAGGCAGCAG